rnacentral:rRNA from 1 species
AGAAUCAACGCUGGCGGCGUGCCUCAGACAUGCAAGUCGAACGCGAAAGUCCCCUUCGGGGGACAAGUAGAGUGGCGCACGGGUGAGUAACACGUAGGUAAUCUACCUUCGGAUGGGGAAUAACAACCGGAAACGGUUGCUAAUACCGCAUAAUGCAGCGGCACCUAAUGGUGACAGUUGUUAAAGCGGGGGAUCGAAAGACCUCGCGUCUGAAGAGGAGCCUGCGGCGGAUUAGCUAGUUGGUAGGGUAACGGCCUACCAAGGCACGAUCCGUA